rfam:Cellulophaga phage phi4:1, complete genome.
ACCAGAUUAGCUCAGGGGUUUAGAGCAACUCUUUUACAAGGAGAAGGUCGAUAGUUCGAAUCUAUCAUUUGGUA